GAGUACUGUAGAGGGGGUAGAAUUUCAGGUGUAGCGGUGAAAUGCGUAGAGAUCUGAAGGAAUACCGGUGGCGAAGGCGGCCCCCUGGACAGAUACUGACACUCAGAUGCGAAAGCGUGGGGAGCAAACAGGAUUAGAUACCCUGGUAGCCACGCCGUAAACGAUGUCUACUUGGAGGUUGUGGCCUUGAGCCGUG
rnacentral:rRNA from 1 species